AAAAAAAAUGGGCGAAACGCCCAUCUUCUUACUCUGGUGGUCGCAUCUAGGCCGCACAUUAAACCCGUACGCCCAGCGACUUUGCGAUUAUAGCGUUUU
rnacentral:sRNA from 16 species